CCUGGUGGUUUCCUCUGCCAGCUCCACCCCAGAAGUGACAGCAGAAACUAACUGCCUCCUGCUCUGAGAGAUUUACCUGCUGAUAACAAGAAGAGCCCUGGCUGUGGUUCUCACAGCUUGGCUAGGAGUAGCAGUUCGCAGCCAGGCAAAUCCCUGCUGGGCGGGGGACAGAACUGCGCUUCCGUGGCCCUGAGACUAGGGCAGGAGAGAGGCCUGUGACUUCCACUUAAAGCUGUAUUUGUUCCUGCAGACUGCCAGCUUCUGCCCUCAGCCUAAGAACUGGCUCCACCUCAGCUACUCAGGUGCUCCAGGUGUCACCUCUGCCUGCACCCUGCUGCACUCCAAGGGAGGAAUCACUCUACAGGGUGCAAGAGCAGCCCCAGCUUUGUCUCCACCAAGGUCAAGAGGCCAGCAGGAGAGCUGAAGAUGCAGCCGUGCUGUUUAAACUGGAGAAAGGAGGGCCUGAGAGCUGAGUGCAAGCCACACAAAUAGCAAAUGGAGACAAGCACCUAGGAGGACGUGAGGCGCCUGGGCCGGGCAGGGGUAGGACCUGUGCAUGACCAGGGAACACAGGGGAGCCCCUCCGUGGAGAGGUCAGAUCCAUGCCUGGAGGGACUGGUAUUCGAAUAAUCCCCUAGAUAUAAAUGUGGGCCCCAUUAGGGCUCUAGAACUCA